GGCUCUUUGGCGAUGUGGUCAGCGCACGUGACUCUUACCUGAGAGUCUAGGGAUCAAACCCCGACUGGGCCC